ACUGCGAUUUGUUUAUAUAUUUGGUGUGCAACAGGGUUUUGCAUUGAAAAUUAUUUAUGGUUCUUUUUUGUUUACUUUCAGUUCUUACGUAAACCUGCGAAACAACGUAUACUAGUCCAUGAACUUUGUAUAAUGUUAGACAACUGGGUGAAUGUAUGCGAUGCACUGUAUCACUGCUACAAAUAGGUCAAUAGAUUUUGAAUGGGAUUUCAGCGAAGGCAUGGUUAUUUUUAAAUGCAUGGUUGACAAACCUGGAAAUGGAAUUUUUAUUUACAAUUCAAAGGAUGAUACUGUAGCAUUUUGUCAUGUUGUUUUUACAAUUUCUUGUGAAAGUGUAGCUGGUUAUGGUCAUAUUGACUACGACAACAGUACAAAUACAACGGUAUUUGAAGUAAAAGUCGAAGAAACGGAUGUUAACAGAAAUUGGACCUGUGCAAAUGGACGCGGCAAAAAAGAUCCUAGAUUUUCGGUGUCUGUUGAAAUACCUAAAUCAAAGACAUUAAAAAUGAAAG